CGUAGUGAUGAAGGUUCGGAUCGUAAACUCUGUGUUAGGGAAGAACAAGUGAUACUAACUGAUGGCACCUUGACGGUACCUAACCAGAAAGCCACGGCUAACUACGUGCCAGCAGCCGCGGUAAUACGUAGGUGGCAAGCGUUGUCCGGAAUUAUUGGGCGUAAAGCGCUCGCAGGCGGUUCUUUAAGUCUGAUGUGAAAUCUUACGGCUCAACCGUAAACGUGCAUUGGAAACUGGGGAACUUGAGUGCAGAAGAGGAGAGUGGAAUUCCACGUGUAGCGGUGAAAUGCGUAGAGAUGUGGAGGAACACCAGUGGCGAAGGCGACUCUCUGGUCUGUAACUGACGCUGAGGAGCGAACAGCGUGGGGAGCGAACAGGAUUAGAUACCCUGGUAGUCCACGCCGUAAACGAUGAGUGCUACGUGUUAGGGGGUUUCCGCCCCUUAGUGCUGAAGUUAACGCAUUAAGCACUCCGCCUGGGGAGUACGGCCGCAAGGCUGAAACUCACCAGAAUUGACGGGGGCCCGCACAAGCGGUGGAGCAUUG
rnacentral:rRNA from 1 species